rnacentral:rRNA from 1 species
CAGUAGCCACGGGAAUACGGAGGGUGCAAGCGUUAAUCGGAAUUACUGGGCGUAAAGCGUGCGUAGGCGGUUCGUUAAGUCUGUUGUGAAAGCCCCGGGCUCAACCUGGGAAUGGCAAUGGAUACUGGCGAGCUAGAGUGUGUCAGAGGAUGGUGGAAUUCCCGGUGUAGCGGUGAAAUGCGUAGAGAUCGGGAGGAACAUCAGUGGCGAAGGCGGCCAUCUGGGACAACACUGACGCUGAGGCACGAAAGCGUGGGGAGCAAACAGGAUUAGAUACCCGCGUAGUCCCUGUCUCUUAUCC